GGGGAAUGCUUCUAGCUUUUGCUCAUUCAAUAUGAUGUUAGCUGUGGGUUCGUGACAGACAGCUCUUAUUAUUUUGAGGACUGUUGCGGAGGGAAGUAAGUGAAUGUGUCCAAAACACUUGGAAGUUUGCCUGGAAUCCAGUGUGUGCUAUACCAGAGUCCUAGUUAGGCGUGGCCUUGAACAGCCCUGAGAAUGAACAUCUGAGAAGCGUCAAUGUGGGAUGCCCUGAGAUGCAAUUAAGAGGAGGAAGGAAACCAUGGUUCUAUUUUAACAUGCCAGCACCAUGUAAAAGACUACUCAAUGUGAAGAUGAUGAGGAUGAAGACCUUUAUAAUGAUCCACUUCCACUUAAUGAAUAAGUAGAAGUUAAAGGAGAAGAAAAUGAGAUCUUUCCAAGCCUUCCUGAAAGAAAAUGAGAAAUACGUCAUUGGCUCUGAAAGCACAAAUGUGAUGAAGCUGAGACCAGGCCUUGCAAGGAAGGCUGAUUGACAGGAUGUGAAGCUGAUGCAGGGCCAUUUGUUGGGGUGAUACUGCAGAGCACCAGCUGGGUCUGUAGAUAGAGGCAAGUAAUGACAGUGCUGCCUCUCACCUCUCCCAUCAUCUUGUGCCUUCCUGUGUGCCUAAAGUCAAGAGGACUUUACUUGUGUUUGGGGCCUUCUCUGAUUAACACAAGGCAGUGGCAGGGAUGGGGGCAGCAGAAAAAGAAAGAAGCAUCUUGUGACCCAGGAAGACAGUGGCCUUGGCAUAUUUGUAUAUAAUUUAGAAAAUCAGGAUCUAUGUACCUUGCUUGACUCAUAGUAGGUAUUCAAUAAACUGUUGUACUUUCUUAGAAAAAAAAAGCCAUGAAUAAAUGCAUCUACUCGAUAUCACCCAUCUGACAGGAAAUAAUGUCUAUGUGUGCAUAUAGGUUUUGUGAAAUGGGAUGGGUGACACAAGACCAGGAUAAAAUAUGGCAUGCACUGAUACAUGCUUAAUUGACAUUGUAAAUCAAUUACUUUUUUUUUCAAAAGUGGAUAGGAACUAGAGAGUUAGGAAAUGACUGCUAAUGUGAG
rnacentral:lncRNA from 1 species